CAGUCGCCGCGGUAAUACGUAGGGUGCAAGCGUUAAUCGGAAUUACUGGGCGUAAAGCGUGCGCAGGCGGUUAGUUAAGACAGAUGUGAAAUCCCCGGGCUUAACCUGGGAACUGCAUUUGUGACUGUAAAGCUAGAGUAUGGCAGAGGGGGAUGGAAUUCCGCGUGUAGCAGUGAAAUGCGUAGAUAUGCGGAGGAACACCGAUGGCGAAGGCAGCCCCCUGGGCCAAUACUGACGCUCAUGCACGAAAGCGUGGGGAGCAAACAGGAUUAGAUACCCGGGUAGUCCCUGUCUCUUAUAA
rnacentral:rRNA from 1 species